AACGAACGCUGGCGGCAGGCUUAACACAUGCAAGUCGAACGCAUCCUUCGGGGUGAGUGGCAGACGGGUGAGUAACGCGUGGGAACGUGCCCUUCAGUUCGGGAUAACCCAGGGAAACUUGGGCUAAUACCGGAUACGUGCGAGAGCAGAAAGAUUUAUCGCUGAAGGAUCGGCCCGCGUCUGAUUAGCUAGUUGGUGGGGUAAUGGCCCACCAAGGGGACGAUCAGUAGCUGGUCUGAGAGGAUGAUCAGCCACAUUGGGACUGAGACACGGCCCAAACUCCUACGGGAGGCAGCAGUGGGGAAUAUUGGACAAUGGGCGCAAGCCUGAUUCAGCCAUGCCGCGUGAGUGAUGAAGGCCUUAGGGUUGUAAAGCUCUUUCGUCCGGGACGAUAAUGACGGUACCGGAAGAAGAAGCCCCGGCUAACUUCGUGCCAGCCGCCGCGUAA
rnacentral:rRNA from 1 species